rnacentral:lncRNA from 1 species
CAGAUAUUAUUUUUAGGGUCUUUUUGAAAAAAAAAUUUUCAAAUAAUAGCAAAUAUUUCCAAUGGAAUAAUUUUCCUUUGCUCUUAAAUUUAUUAUUAGGUAAACGAAAAUCCACAUUACAUAAUGCAAGAACUUAUGGUAAUUUCAUCAGAGCAUAUUGGUAAAAGCUAAAGGAAUCAAAAUCUUCUGAAACAAAACAUUGUUCUCGUUUGUAACGGGAGAUUUAGCGUGCUUCUCUUUGAAACCAUCUUCACAAGUGACAGGUUCAUCCAAAGCAGCACUCAGAUGCAUAUUAGCACUUUUGUAAUCACUGGAUUUAACGUUCAUCAAAGCUUCUUUUAAAGAACCAUAAGCAUCGUCAUAAAGCUUUACGCAAGUGCGUAACGCGGGUUCAGUACUCGGUGCAUACUUUUUGCUCUUGAGAAUAGUCUCAACUAUCCCUUUCACGUUAAUUGUUUUGGAUGCAGCAUUAUUCGUUGCCGCUAGGACCAAUCCUGAUAGACUAGUUGCAGUUUUGCUUUGCGGAUCUUGUUCAAGUGAUUGGAUGCAAAAAUCAUACUUGAGAUUAGGGUCUUUUGCUGCAGCUGUUUUGCAGGAAUCUCGAAUCAAGGUUUGCGCGGCUGCGAAACAGUUUAGGAGGAGAAAGAACAUUACAACUGAAACGAAGAACUUCAUGCUUUUGUUUUCUUUGUGAGAGAUGAGAAUAUAUGAAUAUGAUGUUAACUUUGUGAUUCACGAGGCUGAUAUAUAUAUAUAUAUAUCUGACGUAAGGGUAUAUGUCAUUGUUUCCCGUUUUCUUGUGUGUUAUAAACUUAUUAUAAAAAGAAUAUUUCAGUUUUAGUAAGAAGAUACUAUUUCAUAUUAAAAACUCUGUUUACAUUUUUAAAAACUAUAAUAUAUUCACUUGGAUUAUUUCUCAAAUUGUCAAUUUAUCUGAACAUGGUCAACAUGUAACAGUAGUUUUCCAUAUAUACACGUCGUCAGAUUUAGUCAACUCUCAGAGCAUCAUUACUGGUUCAAUUUCUUAGUGGAGUACCUGAUGAGUUUAAUAUUAAUAGAGUUUUAUUGUGUAAUUAAAAUUAAAACCAAUAAUAUGUACAUAACCAUUCGUAAAGUAACAUGUGGCAAGAUGGAUUGUGUUGUACGUUUAUGAAAGCUUUCUAUUUUAUGAUCUCUAAGCUGGAGUUUUGAUGUUCUUUCUGGUCUUUUUAUUGUUGUAUCUGGUGAUGAUAUGAUACAAAAAGCCAAGAGGUAUGGGAUCUGCAUGUUUUCAAAUAGUGCAUAGGAAAAAACAGAGGUUCAGACAAGAGCUACAAGAAGGCUCACCUAAGAAAUAUAAGCCUUUGGCCGGAGCUUCUCACGCCAAAGGACUCGUCCUUGAGCUCAUGUAAGACAUAGAAUAUGCUUCUUUAUCUAUUUUUUUUGUGUGUGUGGACAUUGUUGAUGAUGAGCGAUUCUCUGUCUGUUUGAUUAUGCAGAGGAAUGUAGGCUAAGCAGCCAUGUUCUGGUAUAUGUAAGUGUACUAGAGUACAACUUGUCAAGAAUGGAAAGAAGAUUGCUGCUUUUGUCCCCAACGAUGGUUGUUUGAACCUCAUUGAGCCAAAUGUAAGCUGAAUGAAUAAAGCCUUUUGUAACCAUUUAUGAUUAGUUUUGUCAAAGGUUGAAUUCAUGUUUUGUGUUAUGUUGUUUGCAGGACGAGGUUUGAUAUCUGGAUUUGGGCGUAAGAGUCAUACUGUGGGAGAUAUUCCAGGCGUAAGGUACAAGGUCGUCAAGGUUUCUGGUGUUUUACUCUCUGCUCUCUACAAGGACAAGAAGGAGAAGCCAAGGUCUUAAAACAAAACCUUCAAAGCUUUGAAUUUUAUUUUUGAUGGCAUAAGCACUUUUCAGUAUUUUAGUUAAAUAAAAGAACUCUUGUGUUAUGUUCUACUUUGGGAUUCAGUAACUUGGUGUGUUAAAUCUUGUAUUCUGAUGACCAUUUGAGUUUUUAGUUUAUUCGACCUUAUAAUAUGUCACUGCCAAUGGCAUGGAAUUCUAUUACUAAUCCAAAACAAGUGAUACAUAUCACUACAUAAUGUACUCAUUCGUAAUCCUGGCAAUUAUAAGUCAUAAAGAUAAACAAAAGUCACACAGCCAGCUUACAAAUUGAAUAAGGUAGCCAAACAAGUUUAAGAUCACAUCAGUGACCAAUCAAAACAGACCAGAAACUAAACAGACCAUAUCUAAUAUACAUAAAUAAUUUUAUAAUCAAUUAUACAUUUUAACUCAUACAAAAUUUUAACAAUAAUCUAUUGUAAAAAUUAAAUUUAGUAAAACAUAAGAUAAUCCACUAAAAUAUAUAAAAUUAAGCAAAAAAAUUAUGUAAAUUUAUUUACAAGUUUGUUUCUUUUCUACUAACAAUAAAAAAAAAGAACAGGAUGGGUUUUUUUUAUCAUCCAACUACAGAAAAUCACAAAAUAAAUGAUGUAAUGCCACAUCAAAUUCUUAAUAUAUAAUUAAAACAUAGAUUACUUACCAAAAGAAAAUCAUCUUGAACCUUUUAACAAGAAAAAAAAAAUUCAAAAAUUUAAAAAAUCAUAACUAAUUUUUCAGAUAACAUGGUUUAUUUAGUUGUUCAUAUACAAUAACAUGCACAAAAUUUAACUAUUAUGUAUAUUUCUAAAUAAUAAAAAUUUAUAUUAAAUAUUUACUCUAGUUACUUAAUUUAUUUGUUAAUUUUCAUCCCGCAUUUAGGGCGGACCAGCCCUAGUAUAAUUAUAACAUACUGUAUUGAUUUUUUCCGCUAAGACAGUGGAGUAUUUAAAUUUUCUUUUUUUUGCAGAUAUUAUUUUUAGGGUCUUUUUGAAAAAAAAAUUUUCAAAUAAUAGCAAAUAUUUCCAAUGGAAUAAUUUUCCUUUGCUCUUAAAUUUAUUAUUAGGUAAACGAAAAUCCACAUUACAUAAUGCAAGAACUUAUGGUAAUUUCAUCAGAGCAUAUUGGUAAAAGCUAAAGGAAUCAAAAUCUUCUGAAACAAAACAUUGUUCUCGUUUGUAACGGGAGAUUUAGCGUGCUUCUCUUUGAAACCAUCUUCACAAGUGACAGGUUCAUCCAAAGCAGCACUCAGAUGCAUAUUAGCACUUUUGUAAUCACUGGAUUUAACGUUCAUCAAAGCUUCUUUUAAAGAACCAUAAGCAUCGUCAUAAAGCUUUACGCAAGUGCGUAACGCGGGUUCAGUACUCGGUGCAUACUUUUUGCUCUUGAGAAUAGUCUCAACUAUCCCUUUCACGUUAAUUGUUUUGGAUGCAGCAUUAUUCGUUGCCGCUAGGACCAAUCCUGAUAGACUAGUUGCAGUUUUGCUUUGCGGAUCUUGUUCAAGUGAUUGGAUGCAAAAAUCAUACUUGAGAUUAGGGUCUUUUGCUGCAGCUGUUUUGCAGGAAUCUCGAAUCAAGGUUUGCGCGGCUGCGAAACAGUUUAGGAGGAGAAAGAACAUUACAACUGAAACGAAGAACUUCAUGCUUUUGUUUUCUUUGUGAGAGAUGAGAAUAUAUGAAUAUGAUGUUAACUUUGUGAUUCACGAGGCUGAUAUAUAUAUAUAUAUAUCUGACGUAAGGGUAUAUGUCAUUGUUUCCCGUUUUCUUGUGUGUUAUAAACUUAUUAUAAAAAGAAUAUUUCAGUUUUAGUAAGAAGAUACUAUUUCAUAUUAAAAACUCUGUUUACAUUUUUAAAAACUAUAAUAUAUUCACUUGGAUUAUUUCUCAAAUUGUCAAUUUAUCUGAACAUGGUCAACAUGUAACAGUAGUUUUCCAUAUAUACACGUCGUCAGAUUUAGUCAACUCUCAGAGCAUCAUUACUGGUUCAAUUUCUUAGUGGAGUACCUGAUGAGUUUAAUAUUAAUAGAGUUUUAUUGUGUAAUUAAAAUUAAAACCAAUAAUAUGUACAUAACCAUUCGUAAAGUAACAUGUGGCAAAGUCUAUGUGCGACCAGACGUUUCUUCCCAUUUGACGCUCUCUCUCUUGCUUUAUUAAUUUUUUAUUAUUAUAAAUGUCAGUCUCAUGAGUUACUCUUCCACUGCAUGUGCUCUUAGCUUUCCAUAUCAUACAUAAAAUAUCAAAAAUGAGAUCUCUUCUACAGUUAUUAAAAAACAAAAAUAUACCUUUUAAUAUUGAUUUUCUCAAAAUCAUAUUUGAGAUUAGGGUCUUUUGCUGCAGCCGUUUUGCAAGAAUCUCGAAUCAAGGUUUGCGCGGCAGCGAAACAGUUUAAGAGUAGAAAAAACAUUACAACUGAAACGAAGAACUUCAUGCUUUUGUUUUCUUUGUUAGAGAUGAGAAGAGAUGACUACGAUGUUAACUUUGUGAUUCACGAGGCUGUUAUAUAUAUAUAUAUAUAUAUCUGAUGUAAGGGUAUAUAUUCUCCUUUCUUAUAUGUCAUUAUUUCCUGUUUUCUUGUUUGUUAUGAACUUAUCAUAAAAAAAAUAUUUCAGUUUUAAUAAGAAUAUACUAUUCCAUAUUAAGAACUCGAUUUAAAUUUUUAAAAAAUCAUAAUAUAUUCACUUUUAAGGAUUAUUUCUCAAAUUGUAAAAAUUUAUCUGAACUUGGUCAACAGGUAACAAUAGCUUUCCAUAUAUACACGUCAGAUUUAGUCAACUUUUAGACCAUCAUUAACCGGGGGUCUUAGCAAUAGGGUCCUUAGCAAAAACUAAUAAAAUAUUGGGUGGGUCUCACUAAUUUUUAAAAAUCGGGUCCCUAAGGUUGUGAUAUAAGGACAGACCUUCACUUGUUUUUUUUUUUGGUCUGGUAAAAAAAAAAAUUAGAAGGCGAACCAAAAAUAUAAAAAAAAAUGAGAUGUCUUCUACAAUUAUUAAAAAAACAAAAAUAUACCUUUUAAUAUUGAUUUUCUCAUCAAUUUUUCAUAUAGAGGUCGGCAUGCAAAAAUCCUAAAUCAAAAAAUGUGUAUUUACUAAAUAUUUAACUAACAUCUGUAUCAGGAAAAACUUUCAAUCUCAUUAUUUAUUCAUCACGCAAAAAAAUGAUCAGUACUACUCGUAAAAAACAGUGAUGUUGUGCAUUUUUAAAAAUAAAUAUUUAAUUAUUAAAAAAAUACAGACACUAUAGAAAAUUAAAUAAAAGUUUAAUUCCACAAAAACAAAAAAAAAUUGAAAAUUAAAAAAUAAAUCAAAAUAUUCAAACAAUUUUUCAAUAAGUAAAAAAAAGAUUGAAAACUGAAAAAGUUACAGAGAUAUUUUAAUUUUGAAAUUUGGCUAGAACCGAUAUGAACCAUCAUCAUUUUUUUUUAAAUAGGCCUAAAACAGUUUUAAUGAUUAACUAAAUUGGCUAUGUUGAAAACCGUCAACUCAUCGAUUUGUCAACGAUGUUAAGUCGAAAAUUGUGAUCAGAGACAUAAAGUAUUUUAAAUUUCUGUCUUUUUGCAAAUACUAUUUUAGUGUUUUAUAAUUUCAAAUAGUAGCAAAAAUUUCCAAUAAAAUAAAGUUCCUUUGCUAUUAUUUAUUAUUAGAUAAAGGAAAAUUCAUAGCACAUAAUACAAAAAGUUAUGGUAAUUUCAUCAGAGCAUAUUUGUAAAAGCUAAAGGAAUCAAAAUCUUCUGAAACAAAACAUUGUUCUCGUUUGUAACGGGAGAUUUCGCGUGCUUCUCUUUGAAACCAUCUUCACAAGUGCCCGGUUCAUCCAAAGCAGCACUCAGAUCCACAUU